rnacentral:rRNA from 1 species
GCCUAAUACAUGCAAGUCGAACGAUAGUGAGAAGCUUGCUUCUCACGAAAGUGGCGCACGGGUGCGUAACGCGUAUGCAACCUACCUUAAUCAGGGGGAUAGCCCGAAGAAAUUCGGAUUAACACCGCAUAAAAUCACAGUAUAGCAUUAUACAAUGAUCAAAUAUUUAUAGGAUUAAGAUGGGCAUGCGUGACAUUAGUUAGUUGGCGGGGUAACGGCCCACCAAGACCACGAUGUCUAGGGGAUCUGAGAGGAUGACCCCCCACACUGGUACUGAGACACGGACCAGACUCCUACGGGAGGCAGCAGUAAGGAAUAUUGGUCAAUGGAGGCAACUCUGAACCAGCCAUGCCGCGUGCAGGAAGACAGCCCUCUGGGUCGUAAACUGCUUUUAUUCGGGAAUAAACCUAUCUACGUGUAGAUAGCUGAAUGUACCGAAGGAAUAAGGAUCGGCUAACUCCGUGCCAGCAGCCGCGGUAAUACGGAGGAUCCAAGCGUUAUCCGGAUUUAUUGGGUUUAAAGGGUGCGUAGGCGGCUUAUUAAGUCAGGGGUGAAAGACGGUGGCUCAACCAUCGCAGUGCCUUUGAUACUGAUGAGCUUGAAUAUACUAGAGGUAGGCGGAAUGUGACAAGUAGCGGUGAAAUGCAUAGAUAUGUCACAGAACACCGAUUGCGAAGGCAGCUUACUAUGGUAUUAUUGACGCUGAGGCACGAAAGCGUGGGGAUCAAACAGGAUUAGAUACCCUGGUAGUCCACGCCCUAAACGAUGAAUACUCGCUGUUAGCGAUAUACAGUUAGCGGCUAAGCGAAAGCGUUAAGUAUUCCACCUGGGGAGUACGCUCGC